GAUGAAGAACGCAGCGAAAUGCGAUAAGUAAUGUGAAUUGCAGAAUUCAGUGAAUCAUCGAAUCUUUGAACGCACCUUGCGCCCUUUGGCUAUUCCGAAGGGCAUGCCUGUUUGAGUAUCGUGAACACCUCAACUCUCAUGGUUUGCCAUGAUGAGCUUGGACUUUGGGGGUUUUGCUGGCCUUUGGUCGGCUCCUCUCAAACGGAUCAGCUUUCCAGUGUUUGGUGGCGUCACGGGUGUGAUAACUAUCUACGCCUGUGGUUUUCUGCCAGAUAACCUUCAGCGAUGGAGGUUCGCUGGGGCUCAUAAAUGUCUCUCUUCAGUGGAGACAGCUUUUUGGACGUUUGACCUCAAAUCAGGUAGGACUACCCGCUGAACUUACGCAUAUCAAUAAGCGGAGGA
rnacentral:misc_RNA from 1 species